rnacentral:rRNA from 1 species
CCUACGGGUGGCAGCAGUGGGGAAUAUUGGACAAUGGGGGCAACCCUGAUCCAGCCAUGCCGCGUGUGUGAAGAAGGCCCUCGGGUUGUAAAGCACUUUCAGUGAGGAAGAACGCCUGGUGGUUAAUACCCAUCAGGAAAGACAUCACUCACAGAAGAAGCACCGGCUAACUCCGUGCCAGCAGCCGCGGUAAUACGGAGGGUGCGAGCGUUAAUCGGAAUUACUGGGCGUAAAGCGCGCGUAGGUGGCUUGAUAAGCCGGUUGUGAAAGCCCCGGGCUCAACCUGGGAACGGCAUCCGGAACUGUCAAGCUAGAGUGCAGGAGAGGAAGGUAGAAUUCCCGGUGUAGCGGUGAAAUGCGUAGAGAUCGGGAGGAAUACCAGUGGCGAAGGCGGCCUUCUGGACUGACACUGACACUGAGGUGCGAAAGCGUGGGUAGCAAACAGGAUUAAAUACCCUAGUAGU